rnacentral:rRNA from 1 species
CGUAUAUUAAAGUUGUUGCAGUUAAAAAGCUCGUAGUUGGAUUUGUGGAUGAUCUUGAGGUCCACGUUUUGCGUUGGUACUAUUGAGAUUGUCCAUCCUUGGGUGGAAUCUGUGUGGCAUUAGGUUGUCGUGCAGGGGGUGCCCAUCGUUUACUGUGAAAAAAUUAGAGUGUUCAAAGCAGGCUUAUGCCGCUGAAUAUAUUAGCAUGGAAUAAUGAGAUAGGACUUGGGUGCUAUUUUGUUGGUUUGCGCACCUUGGUAAUGAUUAAUAGGGACAGUUGGGGG